rnacentral:rRNA from 1 species
CCCUUAGAUGUCCUGGGCCGCACGCGUGCUACACUGAUGCAUACAGCAAGUAUUUUCCAGCUCCGCGAGGCUGCUGGUAAUCAUGAAUAUGCAUCGUGCUGGGGAUAGAUCUUUGGAAUUAUAGAUCUUGAACGAGGAAUUCCUAGUAGGCGCAAGUCAUCAGCUUGCAUUGAUUACGUCCCUGCCCUUUGUACACACCGCCCGUCGCACCUACCGAUUGAAUGGUCCGGUGAAAUCUCGGGACGGCGGCUUGGUCGCUUGCGUCCGACUGCUGAAACUUGAUUAAACCAUAUCAUUUAGAGGAAGGUGAAGUCGUAACA